GUGCUCGUUUCAGCAGCACAUAUACUAAAACUGGAACGUUACAGAGAAGAUUAGCAUGGCCCCUGCACAAGGAUGACAUGCAGAUUUGUGAGCAUUCCAUAAAUUUU
ensembl:snRNA U6 U6 spliceosomal RNA